CUUUACUGUAGCUUUGCAUUGGACUUUGAACCGAUCUGUGUAGGAUAGGUGGGAGGCUAUGAAGCCGGGACGCUAGUUUCGGUGGAGCCAUCCUUGAAAUACCACCCUGGUUUGUUUGAGGUUCUAACCAUGGUCUGUGAAUCCGGAUCUGGGACCGUGCAUGGUAGGCAGUUUGACUGGGGCGGUCUCCUCCCAAAAGGUAACGGAGGAGUACGAAGGUACGCUAGGUACGGUCGGACAUCGUGCUAAUAGUGCAAUGGCAUAAGCGUGCUUGACUGCGAGACCCACAAGUCGAGCAGGUGCGAAAGCAGGUCAUAGUGAUCCGGUGGUUCUGUAUGGAAGGGCCAUCGCUCAACGGAUAAAAGGUA
rnacentral:rRNA from 1 species